rnacentral:rRNA from 1 species
UACGGAGGGUGCGAGCGUUGUCCGGAAUUAUUGGGCGUAAAGAGCUUGUAGGCGGUCUGUCGCGUCUGCUGUGAAAAUCCGGGGCUCAACCCCGGACUUGCAGUGGGUACGGGCAGACUAGAGUGUGGUAGGGGAGACUGGAAUUCCUGGUGUAGCGGUGAAAUGCGCAGAUAUCAGGAGGAACACCAAUGGCGAAGGCAGCACUCUGGGACGUGACUGACGCUGAGACGCGAAAGCAUGGGGAGCAAACAGG